rnacentral:rRNA from 1 species
GACGAACGCUGGCGGCGUGCUUAACACAUGCAAGUCGAACGGAAAGGCCCUGCUUGCAGGGUGCUCGAGUGGCGAACGGGUGAGUAACACGUGGGUGAUCUGCCCCUUACUUUGGGAUAAGCCUGGGAAACUGGGUCUGAUACUGGAUAGGACCAUGCUGUAGGUGGUGUGGUGGAAAGAUUAGUUUCGGUAAGGGAUGAGCUCGCGGCCUAUCAGCUUGUUGGUGGGGUAAUGGCCUACCAAGGCGUCGACGGGUAGCCGGCCUGAGAGGGUGGACGGCCACAUUGGGACUGAGAUACGGCCCAGACUCCUACGGGAGGCAGCAGUGGGGAAUAUUGCACAAUGGGCGCAAGCCUGAUGCAGCGACGCCGCGUGGGGGAUGACGGCCUUCGGGUUGUAAACUCCUUUCAGCCAUGACGAAGCCCUUGUGGUGACGGUAGUGGUAGAAGAAGCACCGGCUAACUACGUG